rnacentral:misc_RNA from 1 species
AAGUCGUAACAAGGUUUCCGUAGGUGAACCUGCGGAAGGAUCAUUAACACGUAUCCACCCUUACAAACACCAACCCGAUACUUGAACUUCGUCAGGGUUCGCUCUUGAUCUUUGACUGAGCUUCAGGACUCGAGAUUCAUUUAUGUUGAACCGGCGACGAAGGCCAGUUUCAUCCGGGUGGUGGAACUGGUCUGAGCCUGGGUCCAUUAUGCUUCUUUUGAGACCUGCUGCAUCUCGAGUUCAAUGAGACGGUGUCUUUGACGUUUCUGUAAACGAAUCUGACACUGCUGACUUGAAGGUCUCGUAUCACCCUUUUUACUCAAUGAACCUAAUUUUCAGUAUAUUUGACUUUAGCUUGAAGAACUUCGUGAUCUUCGCGAGUCAUUUAUAAAACUAGUACAACUCUUAGCAACGGAUGUCUUGGUUCUC